GUUGGUUGAAUAUUUUUAAUGUACAGCACAAUUACAUAAUAACUGCAUGCAUUUUCAACAGUAUUUGCCCCAAACACAAAUGAAAACCUUGUGAACGAGGCAAGUCAAUGUCCUGCUAAGCUUGCAACUUUGCUGCUCGACUAGACUUGUUACAAACUUUGCCACUUAAUCAAACAGCAAGUCUUGUUACCAAUAUGUUAAACACCUAAUGUAUAGACAAAACUGUUGCUAAGUAGAAUCACUUUAAAAACAAAUUUUGUUGUCUAUUCAGAAUGAAUUACUAUGCAUUGUACUUUGUAUGAUCUCUAUUUCACACAAUAAGCCUUUUGCCUUACUGCAUGAAAAUGGCUUGCUGCAUGACAGUAACUAUUUGAGGAAAUUACAUUGCAUGCUAUAAACUUACUGGCCACAUUUAAAACAGUUGGGUGCAUCAAUCAGCUAGUUGUGCCUAGACAACUAAUUAAGUAUGAAUAAACAGGCCAUGAAAUGUCGGUUAUUGUCAUAAUUUAGUGGGUUGCAUAUAUAGGCAAAUUUUGUUUACAAAUUAAUUUUAAUUUGCACCAUAAAUAUGUAAAUGACAUUUUAAAAAUUUUCAUAACCAAAAACCAUAUUUCAGCAAGAAAUUGCUUUCAAAAUUUGUUAACCUGACUAACUGGCUGGUAAAAAUUUGCAAACAAAAUUUCCCGCUUACAUAUAGUAUAGUAUGACAUUAGAUUUUGCCACAAUCGCAGAGGUCUCGGGCAGUCUCGGCUGUGCGGCCUGUGCUGACUGAUCCCACUCACUCCAAUACAACAAAAUGGGGUCUAGCUGGUAUGCAUUAAUCCAAGCAGCUCACAAAUCUUCAAAUGCGUCUUUGUCCACACUUUCGCCACAACUUUGCCUGGUUUUCUUCAAAAAUCCGUCUAUUAUUUUGUCCUGUAUGAAUUCUUUUCACUGAUGUUUUUCCGCCAUUUUGAAUGAAUGUGGCGCGGUACUUUAUGUAAGCGACAGGUUUUGGAUACUUUUACUGGAAUAACCGCUGGACUUUGCAUAUCGCAUAUUGGCGCUUUUGCAUGCAUUUUUGACAGGCGUGG